rnacentral:rRNA from 1 species
ACGGUAACAUGAGAGCUUGCUCUUGAUGACGAGUGGCGCACGGGUGCGUAACGCGUAUGCAACCUACCUAUAACAGGGAGAUAGCCCGGAGAAAUUCGGAUUAAUAUCCCAUAGUACAACCAGAAGGCAUCUGAAGGUUGUUAAAGAUUUAUCGGUUAUAGAUGGGCAUGCGUAAGAUUAGCUAGCUGGUGAGGUAAUUGCUCACCAAGGCUACGAUCUUUAGGGGGUCUGAGAGGAUGAUCCCCCACACUGGUACUGAGAUACGGACCAGACUCCUACGGGAGGCAGCAGUAGGGAAUAUUGGUCAAUGGGGGCAACCCUGAACCAGCCAUGCCGCGUGCGGGAAGAAGGCGUUCUGCGUUGUAAACCGCUUUUAUACAGGAAGAAAAUGCUAUGCGUAGUACUAUGACGGUACUGUAUGAAUAAGCACCGGCUAACUCCGUGCCAGCAGCCGCGGUAAUACGGAGGGUGCGAGCGUUGUCCGGAAUUAUUGGGUUUAAAGGGUGCGUAGGCGGUCUUUUAAGUCAGAGGUGAAAUCUCACAGCUUAACUGUGGAACUGCCUUUGAUACUGGAAGACUUGAGUAUAGUAGAGGUAGGCGGAAUUGAAGGUGUAGCGGUGAAAUGCAUAGAUAUCUUCAAGAACACCGAUUGCGUAGGCAGCUUACUGGACUAUAACUGACGCUGAGGCACGAAAGCAUGGGUAGCGAACAGGAUUAGAUACCCUGGUAGUCCAUGCCGUAAACGAUGCUCACUCGAUGUAUGCGAUACACAGUAUGCGUCCAAGCGAAAGCGUUAAGUGAGCCACCUGGGGAGUACGCUGGCAACAGUGAAACUCAAAGGAAUUGACGGGGGUCCGCACAAGCGGUG